UACGUAGGGGGCAAGCGUUGUCCGGAUUUAUUGGGCGUAAAGAGCGUGUAGGCGGCCAUGCAGGUCAGCUGUGAAAACUCGAGGCUCAACCUCGAGACGUCGGUUGAAACCAUCUGGCUAGAGUCCGGAAGAGGAGUGUGGAAUUCUCGGUGUAGCGGUGAAAUGCGUAGAGAUCGGGAGGAACACCAGUGGCGAAGGCGGCUACCUGGACCAGCACUGACACUGAGGCACGAAAGCGUGGGGAGCAAACAGG
rnacentral:rRNA from 1 species